rnacentral:rRNA from 1 species
UACGUAGGGUGCAAGCGUUUGUCCGGAAUUAUUGGGCGUAAAGAGCUCGUAGGCGGUUCGUCGCGUCGGCUGUGAAAACCUGAGGCUCAACCUCAGGCCUGCAGUCGGAUACGGGCGGACUUGAGUUACUGGCAGGGGAGACUGGAAUUCCUGGUGUAGCGGUGAAAUGCGCAGAUAUCAGGAGGAACACCGGUGGCGAAGGCGGGUCUCUGGGCAGUAACUGACGCUGAGGAGCGAAAAGCGUGGGUAGCAAACAGG